GGGGUUGUGGCUCAGUGGUAGAGUGCUCGCCUACCGUAAACGAGGCACUGAGUUCAAUCCUCAGCACCACA
rnacentral:tRNA from 1 species